rnacentral:rRNA from 1 species
UAACCAGGAUUCCCCUAGUAACUGCGAGUGAAGCGGGAUGAGCUCAAAUUUAAAAUCUGGCGGUCGUUGUGGCCGUCCGAGUUGUAGUCUGGAGAAGUGUUAUCCGCGUCGGACCGUGUACAAGUCUCCUGGAAUGGAGCGUCAUAGAGGGUGAGAAUCCCGUCCAUGACACGGACGCCCGAUGCUUUGUGAGGCACUCUCGAAGAGUCGAGUUGUUUGGGAAUGCAGCUCAAAAUGGGUGGUAAAUUCCAUCUAAAGCUAAAUAUUGGCGAGAGACCGAUAGCGAACAAGUACCGUGAGGGAAAGAUGAAAAGCACUUUGGAAAGAGAGUUAAAUAGUACGUGAAAUUGUUGAAAGGGAAACGCUUGAAGUCAGUCGCGUCCCGUGGAACUCAGCCUGGCUUCGGCCUGGUGUAUUUUCUAUGCGGACGGGUCAACAUCAGUUUUGGCCGGCGGAAAAAGGCAGAGGGAAUGUAGCGCCGCUUCGGCGGCGUGUUAUAGCCCUGUGUCAAAUACGCUGGCGGGGACUGAGGACUGCAGCACGCCCUUGUGGCCGGGGGUUCGCCCCACGUUCGUGCUUAGGAUGUUGGCAUAAUGGCUUUAAGCGACCCGUCUUGAAACACGGACCAAGGAGUCCAACAUGCUUGCGAGUGUUCGGGUGGUAAACCCUUGCGCGUAAUGAAAGUGAAAGUUGGGAGCCUCCGCAAGGGGGUGCACCGACGCCCGGCCCUGAAGUUCUCUGACGGUGCUGCGGUAGAGCAAGUAUGCUGGGACCCGAAAGAUGGUGAACUAUGCCUGAAUAGGGCGAAGCCAGAGGAAACUCUGGUGGAGGCUCGUAGCGAUUCUGACGUGCAAAUCGAUCGUCAAAUUUGGG